ACCAACACACUCGCUCGCUCAAGACGUUGCACGAACACAUCCCGGGUUGAAGUUUUGCUCACCGUAUGUCUCCUCCGCUCUCUCAACGCAGACAACUUGUACAAGGCGAUCUUUGUACGACGCUAAAUUAAAGCGAGCAGUUCCAAGGAAGGCCAAGUUGCGACUGACUGACUGAUGACUUUGUUGAUCAGAUGAAGCAGCUCGCUGGAUAAGAAGCGGCAUUCCUGCUCGAGUGACUCUUUACGGGAUUAUCAUUUGUAAUGACGAUCUCUUUGCCCUCCGCGAUCUGUUAUCGAGUCUGAAAUCAAGUCUCGGCUCCUUCAGGCGCAAGAAUGUCAGCCGGCAAUCGAAGGGCCGGCUCGCAACAGCAGGCCAGUUAGGGACAGGUAACGUGAAAGGCGUUUGUAUAUGGCUCGUAUGGAUGAAGAAGUAUAUGUACGGGUCGACAUUAGGAUCGAGGGUUUGUCGCUGACGACCAAUAUGAGGGACUGCCAUUGUUCGACACCCGGAGACUGACCUUUCGCUAAGCGAGGAACGAAGAGUGCGAUUUCGCUAACAUGGCCUCGUGACUUUCAUUAUUACAUGAAAGACACACCUACAUUUUCCCAAACCGACAAUCAUCCCUCACAUAUGAUUUUAUCAAUCUCGAUUGCGACUUCGAAAGCUACAUACAUAUAUAAUUUUAAUGAAAAUUAAUAUUAAUUAAA